GGUGGUUCUCAGAUGACACACCCCAGAAUUGGGUCCCUCCUCUCUGGUUCCAGGUGCAUCACCAGAGAACUGCC
rfam:Myotis davidii contig10857, whole genome shotgun sequence.